GGAUAACCUACCCUUAGGACCGGGAUAACCUUGGGAAACUGAGGAUAAUACUGGAUAGGCAAUUAUUCCUGGAAUGGUUUUUUGUUUAAAUGUUUUUUCGCCUAAGGAUGGGUCUGCGGCCGAUUAGGUAGUUGGUUAGGUAACGGCUUACCAAGCCAUUGAUCGGUACGGGUUGUGAGAGCAAGAGCCCGGAGAUGGAACCUGAGACAAGGUUCCAGGCCCUACGGGGUGCAGCAGGCGCGAAACCUCCGCAAUGUGAGAAAUCGCGACGGGGGGAUCCCAAGUGCCAUUCUUAACGGGAUGGCUUUUCAUUAGUGUAAAGAGCUUUUGGAAUAAGGGCUGGGCAAGACCGGUGCCAGCCGCCGCGGUAACACCGGCAGCUCUAGUGGUAGCAGUUUUUAUUGGGCCUAAAGCGUCCGUAGCCGGUUUAAUAAGUCUCUGGUGAAAUCCUGUAGCUUAACUGUGGGAAUUGCUGGAGAUACUAUUAGACUUGAGACCGGGAGAGGUUAGAGGUACUCCCAGGGUAGAGGUGAAAUUCUGUAAUCCUGGGAGGACCGCCUGUUGCGAAGGCGUCUAACUGGAACGGUUCUGA
rnacentral:rRNA from 1 species